rnacentral:rRNA from 1 species
GACGAACGCUGGCGGCGUGCCUAAUACAUGCAAGUAGAACGCUGAAGAGAGGAGCUUGCUCUUCUUGGAUGAGUUGCGAACGGGUGAGUAACGCGUAGGUAACCUGCCUGGUAGCGGGGGAUAACUAUUGGAAACGAUAGCUAAUACCGCAUAAAAUUGAUUAUUGCAUGAUAAUUAAUUGAAAGAUGCAAUUGCAUCACUACCAGAUGGACCUGCGUUGUAUUAGCUAGUUGGUGAGGUAACGGCUCACCAAGGCGACGAUACAUAGCCGACCUGAGAGGGUGAUCGGCCACACUGGGACUGAGACACGGCCCAGACUCCUACGGGAGGCAGCAGUAGGGAAUCUUCGGCAAUGGGGGGAACCCUGACCGAGCAACGCCGCGUGAGUGAAGAAGGUUUUCGGAUCGUAAAGCUCUGUUGUAAGAGAAGAACGGGUGUGAGAGUGGAAAGUUCACACUGUGACGUAUCUACCAGAAAGGACGC